rnacentral:tRNA from 1 species
AUCUGACUAGCUCAGUCAGUAGAGCNUGAGACUCUUAAUCUCAGGGUCGUGGGUUNGGGCCCCACAUGGGGUG